rnacentral:miRNA from 1 species
AACCUCAUUGACUGGAAGGGAUUCCUUUCAGUCAAUGAAGUAUAACAACCUCAUUGACCAGAAGGGAUUCCUUCCAGUCAAUGAGGUA